rnacentral:misc_RNA from 1 species
UGCUUCCCACACUUUCGAUCAAGUUUUGCUCCMUGAGCUAAUGUGGAUGCAAAAAGCGGGUUCCUGUGUUGCAUACCCUAUUGCGAUGGAAAUUUGUGCCUAUCGUUGUCCCUUUCAAUGCGACACCCUCUUUGGGUGCUCGGUUGGACGAGAUAGUGGGGCUUGUGUUCCACGAGCAUUUCAUUUUUGAUUUGUUCGGAUGGACCGCGAGUUCUUACUUGUUCUCUCGGAUGCGGAACCUUCUUCAUGGGUGUUUGGGUCAUCGGCCCUUGGUCCCAAUCUCAAGCGUAUAUCGCUUUACUGGAAUGACGCUYUUGCCUUGUCUUUGACCGCGUGGAGCUCUCAGGCUUCACGAUGGAUCAAUGCUUGGCGGACGUCGUGAAGGAAUGC